GUGAGCUGGGUAGAGCAGCGGUGGUCUCGCCCUCCCAGUUGCCCGCGUCUUUUCCCUUCUUUUGUCUUUGUUUUUUUUUUUUUUUUUUUUAAACCCAGAAAUAAUACACAGUUCCCCCCCCCCCCACCCCGUCCUGGAUAAUACCUUCUUUAGGAUGCAUACUCACCUUUUAGCUAUCCGAGGGGAAGAAAUGUGGCUCCUCCUUAAGUUACCCCAACCGUCAGGUGAAGCCAAAGCAAGCUGUGGGAUGCGUCCACCCCAGCAGCAGGCGAUAUGAAGCAUCAACCUAUACAGAGGAUACAGAAUCUACACACUCACUCUGGAGACCACAAUAUAUGCCACCUUCCUCGAGAGACCUUUUAGAUAGCAACAUGGAGAGAGGAAGCAGAGGAAACAUCAUUUCUAUACACAUUCCCAUCUCUCACUGCCAAUUAGCUGGUCUCUGUGGAUGUUGGUACUUAAGCCUGGAAACCUUGGGGCUCAAUGGAAGAGCAUCAAAUGGAAAGUAAAAAGCAAUUGCACCCAUGAAAAUCUGAACCCUGCUCUGCUUUGCUUCAUACCUUCUCUUCUCCACUCGCAUGAUGGCAUAUGUUCUGCAGGAGAGAGAAACAGACGGAGAGCUGGCAGGUGUCAUACUCCCAUUAAAGACAAGAAAUGUAGCCGCAAAGAUUUCCCUACUGUUUUAACAUCUUGCCUAACCACUCCAGUUAAGCAAGGCACUGUAAGUGUUGCUUCUAUGAGCAUGCUUCUGUUCUUUCCUCACAUUCACACUUACUCAAAACAUACAUGCCUCUUG